rnacentral:rRNA from 1 species
CGUACGCUGGCGGCACGCCUAACACAUGCAAGUCGAACGCAGUAGCAAUACUGAGUGGCAAACGGGUGAGUAUAAUGUGGGAAUCUGCCUUUUGGUUUGGAAUAACACGGGGAAACUUGUGCUAAUACCAAAUAAGCCCUUACGGGGAAAGUUUUAACGCCGAAAGAUGAGCCCGCACUUGAUUAGCUAGUUGGUAAGGUAAAAGCUUACCAAGGCAAUGAUCAAUAGCUGUUCUUAGAGGAAGACCAGCCACAUUGGGACUGAGACACGGCCCAGACUCCUACGGGAGGCAGCAGUGGGGAAUCUUGCACAAUGGGGGAAACCCUGAUGCAGCGAUGCCGCGUGAGUGAAGAAGGCCUUUGGGUUGUAAAACUCUUUCGUCGGGG